rnacentral:rRNA from 1 species
AGACGGAGGGUGCAAGCGUUACUCGGAAUCACUGGGCGUAAAGCGCGCGCAGGCGGCUAUUUAAGUUGGAUGUGAAAGCCUACGGCUCAACCGUAGAACUGCAUCCAAAACUAUUUAGCUAGAGUGUGGGAGAGGAAGAUGGAAUUAGUUGUGUAGGGGUAAAAUCCGUAGAGAUAACUAGGAAUACCAAAAGCGAAGGCAAUCUUCUGGAACACUACUGACGCUCAGGCGCGAAAGCGUGGGGAGCAAACAGGAUUAGAAACCCUAGUAGUCC